rnacentral:misc_RNA from 1 species
GGUCAAGAUAAGUGUGUCCUCCAAUCCAGGGGCAUAUUCACUUGUCGGAUUCAGUUUCACUAGUUCAGCAGCUGACUUUGAUUCCAUGUAUUCCUUGGAAAUAUGAGGCCUCAGCUUGACAUGGUAGGUUUGAUCACGUAUACGCUUUAGAGUGUAAGCUUGCAAUACGUUUAAGGUUGUGAUGUAGGAAUCACGCAGCCUGAGUCGU